UGCCAGCAGCCGCGGUAACACGGGGGGCGCAAGCGUUAUUCGGAAUUAUUGGGCGUAAAGGGCGCGUAGGCGGCCCGGCAAGUCAGUCGUGAAAGCCCUCGGCUCAACCGAGGAAUUGCGAUUGAAACUGCCGAGCUUGAGUCCUGGAGAGGGUAGCGGAAUUCCCAGUGUAGCGGUGAAAUGCGUAGAUAUUGGGAGGAACACCUGUGGCGAAGGCGGCUACCUGGACAGGUACUGACACUGAGGCGCGAAAGCGUGGGGAGCAAACAGGAUUAGAUA
rnacentral:rRNA from 1 species